rnacentral:rRNA from 1 species
UACGGGGGGGGGCAAGCGUUGUUCGGAAUUACUGGGCGUAAAGGGCUCGUAGGCGGCCAACUAAGUCAGACGUGAAAUCCCUCGGCUUAACCGGGGAACUGCGUCUGAUACUGGAUGGCUUGAGUGUGGGAGAGGGAUGCGGAAUUCCAGGUGUAGCGGUGAAAUGCGUAGAUAUCUGGAGGAACACCGGUGGCGAAGGCGGCAUCCUGGACCAUUACUGACGCUGAGUGAGCGAAAGCCAGGGGAGCAAACGGGG